rnacentral:snoRNA from 1 species
CCGCAUCCUUGACAGCCUGGGACUCCCAUCUGUGGUCUACCCUGGGUCUCUAUAAAGGUGAUGCCAAAUCAAUGACCCUUCGCUUUCUGCCCACUCCCCAGUGGUGGCUCUGAUUGAAUAGGGGACGACAUGA